GCUUCCCGAAGCCGGUAGCUUCAACGUGCUACCGUAGUUAGGUCCGUAUGGGUAACCAGUGUUAACAGAUGCCGGAAGUUUCAUCGUUUGUCCGUAUCCAGGUCCAUAUGGCCCGCUUCCCGAAGCCGGUAGCUUCAACGUGCUGCCGUAGCUAGGCCUAUAUCCGUAACCAAUGUUCC
rnacentral:lncRNA from 1 species